GUGUCAGCCGCCGCGGUAAUACGUAGGGGGCGAGCGUUGUCCGAAGUUACUGGGCGUAAAGCGCGCGUAGGCGGGGGGUUAAGUGAGAGGUGAAAGGCUGGGGCUCAACCUCAGUAGUGCCUCUCAUACUGGCCUUCUUGAGGGCGGUAGGGAGAAGUGGAAUGGCUGGUGUAGCGGUGAAAUGCGUAGAUAUCAGUCGGAACACCGGUGGCGAAGGCGGCUUCUUGGGCCGUUCCUGACGCUGAUGCGCGAAAGCUGGGGGAGCGAACGGGAUUAGAUACCCCCGUAGUCC
rnacentral:rRNA from 1 species